rnacentral:lncRNA from 1 species
CGUCGUCUCCGCCGCCGAGUCUGGCAGCGUGAGCGCCCAUGGCGACAGCGAGCGGCAGGCCGGCGCCCCGCCGUACUUCGUGUCGUGCUCGGACGCCUGCUUCUGCGCCUUCUGCAUCCUCUUCGUGGUGGCCCUGAGCUUGUCCUUCGCCCUGGGCAUCGCCUACGUACAGGGCGUGGCGGGUGACGUGGCAACCCCUCCCGGCGCCGCGAAUUAUGGAAGCUUGCUGUCGAGUGUCCUGGCGGGCUCGAGAAGACAGGAGACGGCGCCCGCAGCCAGGACCGUUAACGACAGUUUUUCCGCGCGCUGACGCCCGUGCGACGCGAUGGAAAAGAUGUGACGGUUUGAGGAUAUAAAUGUGUGCAAUGUAUACGCAACGAACAUUGCGUGCAUUGAUCGUUGUA